rnacentral:lncRNA from 1 species
AGACCUCAAGGGCAGGAGCAGAGAAAACCUUUAUUCUUCUGUGCCUCCUCCCACCCUCCCCUCUCUGUCUCUUGUGCAGAACCCAGGGCCUGUAGUAGAACCUCAAUAACCAUCUGAAAUAGUGCUCAACUCUUAAAUCUUGAGACCCACCUAUCCCUCUUGAAAUCCUUUCCGAGAUUCAACUGCAUGGAGGGUGCAGCCGCCUUCCAGGGGCUUCCCAUUUAAAUGGUUCUUUAAAGAACUUAGAACCGUUGCAGUUGCCCCGGGAACAACCUCCUAGGAAAGUGCUUGGUUUGUUGAUGGGGAGAGCGAGGGAGCACCUGUGGGAGUUCAAGAGCUGUGAGAAAGUCAAGCACAUGUCCCAGGAUGCACUUUCUUCCAGGAGGCCACUGAUCAGCAGUCCAACUGCAAUAUCUUGCCUGUUCAGAGAGCACACAAUGAGAGUUUCUUCAACCCAACUCAAGAAUCGCUUUUUGAAUGUUUCCUUAGUUGAAGGCAUUUUCCCAGCCUGCUGGAGGAUGCCAAAAUAAAUGAGCAGAGGGCUCCUCUCCCCAACCCAGAGCUCAUGUUUAGGAACGAAGGCUGAUGGAGGUAAGGACUCGGUGGGGUGCGUGGUGGGGGCUGCAUACAGGGAGCGCCCACCAUCCAAGAUCUGAGCUCUGUGCCAGGUGCAGGCGGCCGGCACCCAGUCUCUCAUUUCUGAUCCUGCCAGCCACAGCGAAGUGCUGCAUGCAAGUCAUUUAACUGCUUCAUGAGCCUCCACACCCUCCUUGGAAAGCAGAAAUAACAGCACUGCCCUAGCGGAGUGUGGAUUAAUCUGGGUUCUCCCAAGAAACACAACCAAUGGGAAAAAUAUAUAUAAAGAGACAUAUUAUAAGGAACUGGCUCACAUAGUAAUGGGGGCCGACUCGCCCCAAGAUCUGCAAUUGGCAGGCUGGAGACCCACAAAAGCCGCUUUUGUGGAGUUCCAGUCCAAGUCUGAGUUAGAGGAGGAAGGCUGAUGUCCCAGCUCCAAGACAGGCAGAGAGAGAGAAUCCUCGUUCACUCAGCCUUUUUAUUCUUUCCAGGCCUUCAACUGAUUGGAUAAGGCCCACCCACACUGGGGAGGGCCAUCUGCUUUUCUCAGUCUACGGAUUCAAAUGUUCAUCUCAUCCAGAAACACCCUCAUGCACGCACCGAGAGUAAUGUUUAACCAGAUAUUCAGGCACCUGUGACCAGUCAAGCUGACCACGAAAUUAACCAUCAGAGAGAGGCUGAGAGGAUCGAAGGCUGUGAUAUAUAAAGUUGUUCAAAGCCAAUCAAAUCCCACUAGUCCUGGGAGCCCUCAGUGAGCCUGUGCUGGGGGGCCUUUCCACAGUGAAGGCCCCCUCCAUACCCUCUGCAGAUCUGGGCUGGUGGAAACAGAAAAUAGUUAAAGUUUGUCCUAUUUCAAGUUUUUUUCCUGAAGAUUUCUAUAAAAGCUUUGGUUAUGCUAACGUUCUCUAUUCUGGAAUAUAGGCCAAGGUACUAUCUCAUUUAAGCACAAACUUAUCUAUUUAAUUAUUUCAGUUUUAAUAUAUUAGUAUGAUGAUGUUCCCCAAAGAGUUCAUUACUUCCAGAUUGUUCUGACAUCUAUGUAGAUUUGGAAAUUUCUGGAAAAAUCACUUUCUUUCACAGGCAUGUGGCCCCCUUUGGCAGAGAAGGGGUCCUGGGCUCUGCAGGCUCCCCACCUACCUGUCUUAAGAGAGCUGAGAACAGGCCUCAAGUUGUCCUGCUGCUCAAAGCCGCUGGCCGCGCUGGUUUCCACUGGAACAGGAGCAUGGUCAGUCACUGGAACAGGAGUGUGGCCUAUCCCCAGAAGCUGCAGCCCAAGCAUCGUAACUUCCACCAGAGUCUGAAGACAGAUCAGCAGGUCUUGGGCUGCCUUGUGAGUUUUUGGACAGGCAGGGUGUGAUCCUUUGGGGAAGGGACACCCGCUUUUCUUGGGCAGAGACUGAAGGACACUUGGGUUGAGCUGAAUUUCAGUCACUUUGAGAAUAAUCCGCAUGCAUCAAAAGAAUCACGCAUUUAAUUUAGACUUUACUUAAAUGAUAUUAAGGUGGUAGACAAGAAAAUUGAAAACAUAGCCAGGUAAGUUUGUUUCGUUUCUUUUCUGAUCAUUUGAUUAAUUUUAACUUUGGUUUAUCUGCAGAAUGCACCUCCAUGCACUUUAGGAAGGGGUUUUUAAAACACAACAUCUUAAAAACAAAACCGUUAACUGAUGAUGAGUUUCCUUUCUAAACGCGUGUUCGUCCCCAUUUUACAUCUCCGUGAUAUGCAUUUCCAUUCACGCAGUUAUAUUGUUAGACAUUUUUCACUUAAAUGAAUCUGUGGGUGCACGUACGCGACAGUAGAGUCAAUUUCCGUGUGUGACAUUUGAAGUGUUUGUGUGAACAGAAGUAAAAUUACAGUGCCAUCUUCAGGAAACUAAAAGUCUUUCUUUAUAAAGCACUACAUGUGUAGCUCCCAGGAACCUAAAAAUGUUCCUGGCUUUGAAGAUAAAUCUCCCCUUUAUGUUACAGGAAGAGUAGGUGAGGUGAAAGGUGAGCCGGGGCAGCUCUUGGCGGUGAAAUGUAAUAAAAUCUUCCAGAUAACCA